GUCGAGAAUCUUUCACAAUGGGGGCAACCCUGAUGGAGCGACGCCGCGUGGAGGAUAAGGUCUUCGGAUUGUAAACUCCUGUCAUGCGUGAACAAGGUUGCUUGGUUAAUACCUGGGCAGAUUGAUGGUAACGCAAGAGGAAGAGACGGCUAACUCUGUGCCAGCAGCCGCGGUAAUACAGAGGUCUCAAGCGUUGUUCGGAAUCACUGGGCGUAAAGGGUGCGUAGGUGGCGUGGUAAGUCAGAUGUGAAAGCCCGGGGCUCAACCUCGGAACUGCAUCCGAUACUGCCAUGCUAGAGUACUGGAGAGGUGACUAGAAUUCUCGGUGUAGCAGUGAAAUGCGUAGAUAUCGAGAGGAAUACCAAAGGCGUAGGCAGGUCACUGGACAGUUACUGACACUGAGGCACGAAGGCCAGGGGAGCGAACGGGAUUAGAUACCCGGGUAGUCC
rnacentral:rRNA from 1 species